ACAGCAUAACUUGACAAGCGAUUCCAUGUCCACACCUGGGAUCCAAACCAGCACACCCCGGGCUGCUGACACGGAACGUGAGUACUUAACCGCUGUGCCACCGGGCUGGCCCCAAAACUGAUUAUUCUUAAUUGCAUCUAAAAUACUUUUAAAAUUUCUUCCCUGUGGUUUGAAGGGAAUCUUCUCCAGUAGCAGCUCAAUGCUCCAUCAGUUUGUUGGCAAGCACGAGCAGGCUUCAAAAUGAGAAAUGAGUAGGUUCUUAUCUUCCCAAAUGUAAAUUUAUAUGCUACUUCCUCUCAGAAGCUCUCCCUGACUUCAGGGCCAUUGGAGUUUGGAGUCUCCUAUGCAGAUACAAGCUAUUCAUUUAUAGAUUACAUAGUCUGGAUGAUAUAGAUCCUUGAACUUGUCACAUUGAAUUGAAGUAAAAAAUGCCAAUCUCAACACUCUCUCCUAUGAGUUUUUCUGAGAACAUUCAUCACUAUAUUCCUACCACCUUCUAUUCUACCUAGAACAUUGAAUACGCUCAAUGAACACUGGUGGAAUGAUGGAAAAAAUGGAAAAAAUUGCCAUUUACUUUUUAGCGUAUGUAGGAUAAGACUAAAUAUAUAUUCUAUGCCGCUCAGAUAUGACAUAUGUAUCUACAAACACAUUCUAUGUCACUCACAUAUGACAUGUAUCUCUAAACAAGAUAUUCCCUGAACAAAAUUUAAUGCUUUCAUUUUUUUUUUCCUUUUCCUUCUUCUAAUUUUAUCUUUCUCAUUUUUUAAAAACUUGCACAGGGAUUUUGUAUGUAAAUAUACUUGAUGGUGAUACCUCCUGUAAGUUUACCAGUAAGGAUUUCCCUACUAUCCCAAGAGUAAGCUGUGGUGCCCAGUGAUGCUCAGCGUUGCCCAUCAUGGAAUCUUAUCACACUAGAUUGUAUUGACUUCAUGGUGCUCCAAGUUCUGUGAAGGAAGGAACCAUUUUCUCUUGUUUACUACUGAACCCCAGUGCCCUGCAUGAUGCUGGACACCUACUCUCUGCAGGAGCUCCCAGAUGCUUCAAUGGCAACAGGAUUGCAGACCCCACAGGCAGGAAGCAGGUGCCUGGGGUGGCAGAUGCUGUGGAGGAGCUACCUUAAGAGUCUACAGCUGGAAUGGCCUGAACAGUCAGAGGGGAGGAGAGUUUUCUGCCUACUCGUCUCUUCAGGAAUUGUCAACAGGGAGAAUUCCCCUUACAAACAGUGGCCUCUCGUCUCUGCUUUUCUCCUAAGUCUACUGCUUGAAUAACUGAAUGACUCUUGAUUCUGCAAAGUGUUCUUGCCCGUCAUCAGGAUUCCGGCAAACGUGCUUUUGCUUGGUUUCAACAUGAGUAGAAGAGAGGAGGAAGAAAGGACUAUCAUACACAUAAUGCCUGUUGUGCAUUUGGAGUUUUCUGCAUGUUGCUACUUUCAAUUCUUGCAUCAACAUUUUGAAGCAGCCAUUAGUCUCUCUCUCUCUCUCUCCCUCUCUCUCUUUUAUUUUUUUUUUAAAUAAAGGACUGAAGUUUCUGGUUAAACGACUUGCAAAAUAACUCCCACAACCAAUAUAAAGCUGAGCAGAAAUUUUAACUCAAGUCUGUCCAUCUCGAACACCUACAUUUGCCUCACACACCUCUUACCCCAAGUCACAUACAAAAGCUAUUUUAAAAAAAUUUAUGUCAAUUAUUUGAUACAACAAAAAACCAAAAUCAUAACAACCACCUCGAGAAGCAUCAUUUCAUGCUUCAGUUAGAGCUGCCAGUCAAGUUAGAAAACAUUAAAAUAACAUAACAACCUUUAGCUGUUAACUAAAAUGUGUGUUAUUAUUCUUCACCAAGUGUGCUUUUCUGGUCUUCUGCUUGAUAUUUAAGCAGCCCUUUUAGAACACCAGCUCAAGUGUAAUGCAACAGGUUAAACCAGAAAAAGUAAACUGCUGCCUACGUGUCAUGAAGUUGCAAAAUUAUGUUUGUUGUUCUUUGUUUAUUUUCUUUUUGAGCUAAUGAGACUAUUUUGACAAACUUCAUCCACAGAGAAGGAGACGGAUGGUUAUAACUUGGCUCAGUUCUUCUUGUCAAGGGCAAUCAGUAGAUUGCCUGUUAUGAACAUGGCUAUUGCAAAUUACUCAAAUUAUGUCUGGGCUGUGGCAAACAUUCUCGUGAUGAACUUGAAAUUUGUCUGAUGAACUUGAAAAUUCUUCUAAGGCUCUUCCCCUUAUUACUCAAUUGCAUCCUGCAGGGACGCUGUCACUGGGACUGAAUUUAUAGAUAUCUCAGCCUCCAUCCUCUCCGUCAAUGGAGUUCAAGGACAUGUGCCAAAACUCCAUUUCUACUCUGACUUACUUCAACCACAGGGAAUCAUUAGCUUUCCCUCUUACAGCACUUACUGGAGAACCAUUCGACAAAGAGGACCCUCACUGGGUGGAAGAGCUAAUGGACCUCCAAAGUGACAGAGCAAAGCACUGACAGGGAUGGUCCUGUCAUUCUAUAUAGUAUAUUACAGGGAUAUGGUUACAUCGUGCCCAAUCAAUUUUCUUAAAAAUGGAAGCUUUGAUUUCAAAACCUGCCCGGGCUGGAGUAGACACAAUAAGGAAGAGCAGCUCAUUUUAGAGCUGGCUCUACUUUCAAUAGCUUCCCCCACUCACCAAUUCCUCGGAGCAGUUUACACAGAUUACUGCACAGUCCAUCAGCCCUUUUCUGCAGUGUUGCCUCGGGCAAUGGUUGCUAUUGGACAGCUUUCCUCUUUUUCCAGCAGUUCCAUAUUUCAAAUGAUUCAAGUGCCUUCAAGUGAAUCGCUUGAUAGAUUUCCAAAAUGAUCACUACAGGUCAAAUUCAGCUCAAAUGCUAUCCUUUACAAAGUUUUGAAAAUCCAUUUUUGCAGCAAAGCUGGUGAGACAUUUAAUGAGCUUCAAUUCAGAAGAGACACAUCCUUUUAACUUGAAUUUGGCCUCAAAACAUCUUUGGCUCAUUCAAAUGCCUCGCCAGCUUUUCAGUUACAAUGGCUACUUCUUUCACUCCAGUGAAAUAUACUGUAGAUAGCACCACUGCCCAAUUUCUUUAAAUUUCUGGAAAUGGUAUAAAAAUAAAUAUGAUAUAAAAUAUCCUGCUUUUAUUCAGAAUAUUUUGAUUCAAGGAGUUUGUGCUGACUUGCUUGCCUUCUCUACCCAGCUUCAUUUUGUAUAGGAUGUGUCUUAUUAUUAUUUAAUCUAAUUUUUUAAUGUUUCAAAACACACAAAUUCAGCACAGAAAACGGCUGUAAAUGAAUUAUAAAUAAAAGAAGGAGCAGACACAUUCAAAUAGACUUGGUAGUGUUUAAUCUAGAAAGGCUUAUUUGAAAGUUCUCUUAUCAGUCUAAUAAUAGUGAAUUAUAAUGACCUCCACUUAACAAACACAGGGGCACUAACUUUCUUAAUAGAAAGAUGAGAAGCAGGGGUCAAGUGUCUUAACCAGGUGUUACAUAAAUGAAAUAUAUGUGCAAUGCAGAGAUCUUAGAAAAUUCGUAAGGUUCAAAGAAGAAAAUAGUUGUAAAUCCUAUUAGCCUUUCUGUUUAGUUCUUUUUCCAAAUUGGAUUACUAUUGUGUGUUCAACUUUACAAUUUUAUAUCAUGAUUUUCACACAUAACAUGAUAUAAUGAGCAUUUUCAUAUCUUUAAAAUAUUUUGAAAAUUCCAGUUAUAUUGAAUUCAUCCAAGUAUAGGUCUAUUCUAAUUUAUAUAGACAUGUAAAUUCAGACGCUUUUUUCAAAGCUAUUACAAAUAAACGUGUGGUGAACAGGCUUAGAAAUAAAUCUACAGAUACAUUUUUGUAGGCUAAAUUCUCACAAACAAGAUAAAGAUUUUGAAACUUACUGAAAUAGUAUUUAUAGAAAAUGUUCAACAAAGUAUGCUCCCUCAAGUGGUGAAAAUGUUUUUACUGAACCCUCACCAAACUAUUUGUUUUGAAAGAAUCAUUAAAUAUUUGACAGGCAAACAAAAAAAAAAUAAUUUGCAUUUCUUUGUGGGGCUGAGUUUUUUUCACGUUUCUUGGUUAUUUGUAUUCCUUUUUAAGGGAAGAGGAUGUUCCUCUCCUUUGCCCAUUUUCCUACAGAGAUUUAAUUCCAGUGUUACUCUUAACUGGUUUAUGUGACUUCUUCAGAAUAUUGAUUCUUUGCCAUAUUUGUUGUAUGGUUUACUGAUAGUUUAUGUGCCUUUUUAAUUUUGCUUCAGAUUUACGAUAUUCAGAUCACAAAACACCGUUGCAUCAAGGCUGUUAAUAUUUUCCUUCCAUUACUUUUAGCUCAAAAGCUCCGUUCAAAGGCUGAUGUAAAUAAAUAUGCAAUUUUAUUUCCUGUUUUCAUUAAGACUUAUUUGUUUAUUAAUUACAUUAACUCUUGAAUUCAUUAAGAACAACUUUUUCUAUAGAGAAAGAAGUAAAUUUCAACUUUGAUUUGUUUUACCUGAUAGUCAUUCAAAUUUAUUGAACAGCCAGUCCCUCCAUUUUCCCCCCACUUAUGGAUCAUUCCUUAUUCUACACUAAGUUCCACUAUACACCAGGUUCUCUUUUACUAACCAGUCAGCCAAUGAUCUUUGACUUAGGGUGUAUUUUACAUUCGGCAAGAUCAAGUUUGCCUGUUUAUUUAUUGCUCUUGAAAAUCUCUCUGUCAAGCUAGUUUUAGGAUCAUGGUAUUCAUCUUAAAUUUUCAUUAGUUUGCUCUAUAAUUUCUAAUUAUUCACAGCACAAGUGAGUUUUUGAAAGAUCUGAAAAUGCACUGAAGAAAGAGAAAAUAACAAAAGGAAAAACAUGCAACUUAUCCCAAGAUUCACACUGUAACAUUUUAGAGCACAGACAAUUUCCAGAUCUCUACCAGAGGUGAUCGGUAGUUUUUCUACAAUUCUUCCUUGGCAAGUAAACAGAAAAGUGUUAGAGCACGAGAAAUUUGUUACAACACAGGAAAAUGUUUUCGAUUCAGUUUAUCAUACGAUUGUAAUUUAUUUUUAAAAUACUAGAAGAUAUAAUCUUAAUUUCUCUCAUAUUUGAAUAUAGAAAGGAAACUAUUUAAGGGGCUAGAUUCACAUACACCCCUUUACAUUGCUGCUCCGAUAUACUAAGUUACGUUUUAUUUAACUUGAAACAUAAUCCAGUUAGGAACGUAUCACAAAGAUACCCCUGGUAGUAAGCCACUCAUGCAAAAAUACUUCCCUUGUUUUCCUUAUUUUCCUAACCAUGAAGUAUUUCACUUACUCCAAGUGCAUCACAAAGUGCUCUAGCCAUUUAAUUCCUAAGUCCACUUCUGUAUGUAUUUACUCAACAGUAUCUUGGCGAUCGGAGGUGCUCAAUAAACAUUUGUCCAAUGGAGAAGAAUGAAUGAAACAUACUACUUAAAUGGAGUGCAGUACAAAAUGGCACAUUAUUAAUAACUACCCUGGAAUUCUUAGAAACAGCUGAUGCAGGAACAAAUGUAAGCCUUUUAUUCACAGCAAAGCCUGGGAGAUGAAUAGCUGGCACAUGCGAUGUGUGAUUUAUUCAUACGCACUAGUAGGAGAUUUAUAGGCAUCUAUUAACCUACUUGAGCUCCAGUUCUGUCUUAGGCUGGUCUUUUGUCAUGAUUAGCUAUGUUGUGACUCUGUGUUAAAUAACAGGUUGUCUGUGCUGAAAUAUGCGAGAAAUAUGAAGACAGAAGGCCAAAAUUAUUAUACAUGUGCAUCAUUCCAGCUAAACCACAGAUAUAUCUCUACUCGUACAUGUUAAAAAACUUGGACUUGUACCUCUGCACAAAAGCAAAGGAAUUUUAUUUCUGGACCUGAAAUCCAUUGUCAUAGACUGGAUUGUGUCUCCCACGUAAUUCCUAUGUUGCAACCUAACCUCCAGUAACUCCGAAUGAGACCAUAUUUGGAGAAACGGUCUUUAUACAGGUAAUUAAGUUAAAAUAGGGUCAUUAGAGCAGAUUCCAAUCUAAUAUGACUGGUGUCCUUGUAAGAAGAGGAAAUUUGGACACAGACAUGUACGGGGGAAGAAAACAAGAAGACACAAGGAGAGGACAGCCAUCUAAUAAGCCAAGGAGGGAGGGCUGGAAGGAUAGGCUACCCUCAUGGCCCUCAGAAGGACACCACCUUGCUGACAUCCUGACCUCAGACCGCCAGCCUCCAGAACAGUGAGAAAAUACAUCUCUGCUGUUUAAGCCGCCCAAUGGGUGGUACUUUGUUACAGUGGCCCUAGCAGACAAAUACGCCUGUGAACUAACAGAAAACACAGUGAAGCUCUAUGCUGAAAAAGACUAAGAAUUAUUUUGUUCUUUUCAACAUUAAUCUUAGUUUUGGAAGGGAUAAAUCCUACAUGCCUGCAUACUGUGAUGGGCCUGGUCUGACCUUCCUUGGGGUAAAACACCACCAGGAAAGUCACUGCUUUAGGGGAGACAUUGGAUUCAUCCCUUCAUCAAUCAAUUGGGAAUUCAAACUUAAUUCAUGGCAUCGCCCACUUCCAUAUGAUGCCCCCCUUGGAUCGGUAGAGAUAACUUGAACUUAUGGUUGACUAUCUAGAAGAGCAUGGGUGCACUUCACGCUUACAACGGGUAGCUCACUCUUGGCUUAGAAUGGGUAGCUUCGCUCUUAUUAAAGUCACUGUGUGCUUUCUACCUGUGUCUGCACUGACCUAAUAAAUAGAGCAAGAGAAGACGUAUGUGGGGAGGAUCCAUUUCCACUCCCCUCCAUCACCAACCCAGGUUCACAGAGGACAGAAAUGGGGUGUAAAGUUCAUAAAUGGGGUAAAUGUAACAGCACUGCCCGAGUCACAGGAAAGCCACCAUGUCAAGGGCGAGGAAAGGUUGCAGUUCUGUUUAUGCUGACAGAGCAUACAGGGCAACUCUUACACAGAUCUGCUGCUAUCAUUUAUCAGCUCUUCCAAGCCUGGGCUGCUGCCCACUGGGGCAACUCAUCCUCCCUGUGGACUGCAGCUGGCUCUUGGAGCCAGGCAGGAUUUGCUGACAUGUUCUAAGUUCAUAAGGAUAAGAUGCAUUUUUCUGUGCCAUCUUAAUAAAACAACAUGGAAUAAAGUUUUAUAAUAACAGUAGAGAGAGGAAAAAAGUCAUAAUUUUCCAUGCUUCACCAUUCAGAAUAAUUAAUUUAAUAACUGUGUCAUACGAGAAGAGCAAAUAAAGAGCAGGAAAGGGGUGUGGAUAUAUAUGAUCACUGAAGCAUAUAAAACUGCAAGGAAAAACAAAUUACCAGGGUAGUGCUGGAAAGAAAAGCUCGGUGGGAAAUAUUUUUUGGAUGCUAAUUUGAUUCUUCUUCUAUGCAGUCUUAAAGCUGCAGUGUCUACAAACACACUAUUUAUUUCCACUUGUUUUCAUGUUUAGCAUUUAUAGAAACUUAUGUCUCUAAAAACCAAUUAAACACCUUCCUGAUCUCUACUAGACAUUUUCUCUAGGUAAUUCUCUACCUAGACUGUAAAAGGACUAUGAUUUCAUUGACAACAUCCUGCUGGACAGUGUUUCAUCAUCAGAGGUGUUCCAAAAAGUAUUAAAUUAAUAAACGAGGGUAGAAUCAAAAUAAGAUGCAGUUUUCUCUGGACACGGUUACAAUUUCUGGGGUUCGGUUCACAAUAAACAUUGAGACGCUAGAUCUUCGACGAGCAGCCUGCUUUGUCAUCCCACAGUUUGUGGGGUUGCAAGAAGGGACUAUUUUUGAGUAUGAGCAUUUGUGUCUCGUCCCACACCAGAAAUAUAGACUUUUAAGCGAGUAAAUAAUUAUUUCUAUUAAAUCAGUAGAUACAAAAGUAAGUCUUCCUUUACUUGGUCAGGUAAAACUCAGAUCUUAUCUACUGUAAUUCUAUUUAUCUUCUUCAAUACUAAAGAUACCAGCCUUGUCCCUUCUCAUAUUAAGACUCUUGAUUCUGCCAUUCAACAGCUGGACCACAUGCAUCACAUUCUACUAUAUUCCCAGAGCUCAACACCCCCUCCCACUUCCAGGUCUCUCUGAUGGCCUGCCCUUAGUGCCAGUCACCA